rnacentral:tRNA from 1 species
GGGGCCGUCUUCUAUUGGUUAGGAAUCGCUGCUUUCAACAGCGCAAAGCGAGUUCAAUUCUCGUCGGCCCUACCA